UUUUUUUUUUUUGCCUUGCCAUUUUUUUUUUCUUUUUUUUUUUUUAAAGAGAGAAGGAGGGGGCUGGUUGGCGGAGAGAAAGGGAAGUGGGAAACGAGCAGAUGGGGGAGGAAAAAGCCUAAGAAGAAUCAGAGAGGAAAAAGCCGCUGGGAUGGGGCAGAAUUUGCACACCCCCCCUAAAAAAAAAAAAAAAAAAAAAAAAAAAAAAAAAGGAAAAGAAAGAAAGAAAGCCUAAGUGUGGAGGAAAUGAAAGCUGCUCUGACUGCGAGUGCCAGCGGAGGGCUGCAGCGGGGAGCAGCCCAGGGGUCCCGCUCCGGUCGCCCCGCUUUCCCCGCCGCCAGCGCAACCUCCUCUCGGUCCCGCUGCCUUUCCCUCCGUCCCGGGGCCGCUCCCGCCCCGCAGCCUCGCCACGAUCCAGCCGCUUCCCGCAAAGCCAAACCCCUCGGGGGAGAGACCCGGCACCUCCUGCAUCCUGCCGCCCGGCGCGGGGUGUGCGCGGGGGCGGAGGGGCCGCGCCCGCGGAGGACGGAGCGGUGCCCGCCCGGCCCGGGAGCCGCCGGCAGGAAACCUCAGGAGCCUCCUUGCCUCGGGCAGUCUGCUGGAGAUGUGGGGAUGGCUGGAUCUUGCAUCAGCACUCAGCAGUUCCCGCUGCCGUGCCCACAAGCCGAGCGUGGGUUGUGUCUCCGCAGGGACGCGGAGCGGGAGCUCCGGGAGGGGAAGCCCCAGCACCACAAGGCUCCCCAAAAUGCAGUGUGAUGGCAGGGUGGGAGGCUUGCCCAGCAGCCAGGGGGAGCUGAGAUGAAUAAAUCAUUAUCCAAAAGGUAAGUGGCAGCUCUCAGUGAAGCAAACCCGACAAAGUCCAAUACCCAGUGGUCCCGUGUCCAUGCUGAGAGGCCUCCAUGGGCUCCUGGCUCUGCAGCACUGGCACAUCCCUGCUGCUCAGUCUGGCUGUGAGCCUUUACCAGCCCUUUACUGAAGCACCAGAACAUGGAAAAAAUGCUGCUUCUUGCUCCUGGUGACACCAACCCCUCCAGCAGCUUUUAAGGAAAGGUUUCUGCCCCUCUGCCCAGGCAAAGGCAUCGUGCCCUGUGCUGGCUUUGGAGUCUGGUGUGCCAAGGUGGAAAGAAAUCCUUGGAGCAACUGUGCUGUUCUCUUCUUACCUGAUGAAAAAUAAUAAAAGAGUGAUUAAACAAUUAAUACUGGGUGUUGCUUAACAGUUGCUAAGAGGUUUACUCAAUAAUAUUCUGAAGCUUUUUUUUCCUCUAAUUUAGGAAUAAAACAGACAUAAUUGAGCAUGCUAUUCUGAAGCUCCAAAUUACACUCUGAAGAGAAUUGAAGGAAACACAUUUCUUUGAUUUGAAUAUUUUUCUCAUUAACAGGAGGCUCAGAGUAAAGCAAAAAUAUUUGAUGCACAGAGCCUGUGGCAGUAUCAAGUUAACACUGGUGUGCUCCUGCUUUUUACCUCAUGUUUACUAAUCAACCCAAAAAGAAAGGUCACAUCUUUCAUCACAAAACGGAAACUUUUUGACAAGAAACAAUUGGAAUUUCAGCAUUCCCUUUGAAGUGGGUUCCAGCGUGGAGAGUGAGAGAACAAAAUAGUGGGAUUAGACAACCAAGCAGAGCUGUGCCCUUGGGAUGUUACCACACACUCUGAGUAAGGGACUCUCGGGUGGAUCCAGGUAUCAUGCUGCUCUAAGACAGGGGUAUCUAAGCCCAAAUCGUUUGGAGAAGAGAAUAAAUAAUGUUUGGGUGGGUGUUGGUGAGCAGUUUUGGCUCAGACAGCAGUGUCAGGGUUGAGACACUGCUGCAUGUCUGGUCAGGAUGCUGCAGGACGAGCCAGCCUGAAGGUGUGAGAGCCAUGGCCACCUGCAGAGUGUUAAACCAUGUUCCUCUUCUGUGGAGUCUUCUUUCUUUUAUCUUCCCUGUGGCUGUACCACAGCCCUCUAGUUCUAUUCUUUCCCUGAUUUUUUUUUUUUUUAAAGACCUGUAUUUUGAGAAAGUGAAUUUUCUUGGCAGUUGGGAAAAAAAAAUACCAUUUUCCCAGGUAGAAAAAAUGGCAGUUCCACAAGCAAAAUACUCUCUGUAUAAUUUCUUCUUUUUCUCUCCCUUUCCCAUUUCUUUUGCUCCAAGGGGAGGAGAAGCCCUGCUGGGUAAGGGAAUUUCUGCCUCUCUGGGAGCAGUUCCCACCCAUCCCUGGGUGCAGGUGGGAGCUGGACCAGGGGUUGCCAGCAGAUGUGGCUGGAUCACACUGCUCAGAGCUCACCUUCACUGUCCCCUGAGCUCUCCUGCAAGUUACAGUCAUGCCCUCAAGACAACUGAGGUGAAAGCAGAGAAGUGACCACGAAAUGUCACUGGUUCUCUUGUUCUUCCUUCCCCUCCACUGGUUGCACAGACAUCAGCCACCUCCAAGGACUCUCCCAGGCAGUGACAACCACAGGAGACUUACCCCUGGCUAGGACUUACACCCUCAGCCUGCUGGGGAAAUGGUGGGUAUGAAAAGAUGCCCACGUUGCCUGCAGCUGUAGCACAUAUUGCAUGGCAGGACACACACAGAAGUGAGAUUAAUUUGAGUUCUGGGCAUCAUUAGCUCAAUUAAAACUGUGAUUUUUUAGCUCAGACCUACAGGCCACUGAGGAGAAGAGCAAUCAUAAGACAGAAAACGAGUUCCCUAGUUAAAAAUUAAUUCCCCAGACUAAAAAUAUAAUCAAACGGUGUCUACAGCACUUUAUGAAGAGCUGGGAGGAUAAUAAAAUUUAAAGCAGUGCAACAUUUGCAUUUUGUUCCUUUCUCUCCAUAUUUUUCCAUAGACUGCCUUUCUGUGUGCUUGUUAAUCAUAUGCACUGCUACAGUCCUGGCAUUUUAAGAUCACUGUUCACAUCAAGAUUGAAAGGAAACUAAUUACAACCGCAUUUCAGGCUGCUUGUUCAAAGCUCGUACGGCGCCGGCUACAGCGCAGGAGCCUUGACCUUUAUUUGUAAGCAUGGAAAUAAGGUGAAGAUGAAAGAUUGGUUUUUCCUCCAGCUCUCGUUCGGGGAUCAGGAGGCCCUCCGGAGCAGCAGGGAUGUGGCAAACCUCGCUCCUCGCCUCCUCUGCCGUGCUGGCAGCAGAGGCCAGUAGAGCUAUGCAGAAGCUGUUCUCCACUGCAGAGAGGUGAAGGAGAGCUCCGCUGUUGUUUUGCAGCUCGCCCUCGGGCUAGGAGAACACGGGAAGAAUUAGAAGCCCCGAGGAGUCUGCCUUUUUGACCCCCAUCCAGAGCUUGGUGUGCAGUGCCUGGUGCUCAGAUGAUGGAGGUGCCUGUUACCUGCUGGUGAGAGCUGCUGGCAGUGCUACAGCCUCUUUUGCCACUCAAGUUAGGGCUUAAUAACACUAAUAGGAUCUAGGAGGACUCAUCAGGGCAGAAUAAGGUCCCUCAAACCUGAGGGAGUGCAGGUAAUCCUGAAGCUAUCCCUGAUUUCAUUCAGUGUGGAUGCAUUGAGAACACGCUGAGUGGCAGAGUUACACAGUGGGUUUCACCCUCUUCUCUGUGCCCCUGAAUUUUCAAAGCUGUAACUGUCAUAAAUUUGUACUAUGCCCAAAAUAAGCUGAGAGGUAUUUACACGAACAGGUUUCAGCCCAGGAGCUGCUGCUGUGGCCUUUUCACCAAAUGUGCUUUUCAGGGUCACUACCAGGUGUUCAAAAAGCUGUGCCAUGGCAAGAGCCGACCCCAGAGGGGUCCUGAGCUUCCAUCCUCCCUGGAUUAUCACAGCUCUGCACUGGAAUGAGCUCACUGAGGAAAAGUUCUCCACCCCUGAACCAAACCAAUCCCAUUCUCCACUUGUAUUCCACGCUGUAUUUACCCUGCACAGUCAUUGCAUUUGCCAGGCUCCAUGUUCAUCACUGCUGGAGCCCUGAGGUUCAGUGGCUUUAUUGGCAGGCUCUGCCAAGUAAUUUGUAUCUCCUGGUUGGAAAAGCUCUGUUUAGGGCAUUCAGCAGUGAAAGGAGGGAAAGACUCAUCUCACACCCAACCCAGAGCCCUGCUGCAGGCAGAGGACCUCUCUUUCCUGGUCCAUGCUGAGGACACAGACCUUGGACUGGAUGUUCCUGGGACCCUGGAUGCCGCUCAAACCAAGAAGCAAAGAUGAUUUUGCAACACUUUUAUCUCAUGUUCUCCUUCUGCCUACAUUCUUCAAAGCAAAAAUUCACUCAGGCAAAUAUUUACAGGAACUAAAGAAAAGGAACAGACCCCUGCUAUAGACACUGCUGCAGUGAACUUCUAAUUACAAUCCACACAGCGGUUAUGAAUAAAUUUAUCUAUUAUUUGUGUAGUUCUAGCACUGCAUACACUUUGCCUUGUACCAUUACAUGCUGAAGGAAACAAUAUGCAGCAUGAAAAUGAAAACAAUUUGACUUAAUUAUUUACACCAUUUACCGCCGCUUUGAAUGAGGCCCUCCAUUUCUUCGGGAUUUUGUAAAAUUUAACUGCUAAUUAUGCUUGCUUAAUUAAUUUUAUUUAUCUACCACUACAAUAAGAUCAAAACAACAACAACAACAACAACAAAAAGAUCAAAACCACAACCCUACCAGAAUGGAAAGCACAGGCUGUGUCCCCUAAUUGUAAAUGUUGCUUUUAAGCCUUUAUGAUAAAAAUGUAAUAUUUUGUAGCGUUUCAUUUGGAGCGUAUCUGGCCACGCUCCAGUACUAUUUAAGUGUAAACAGGAAAAGCCUUGGAGGACAAGUAAUCAUACUCAAAUGGCACAAAGAUCAUUACAAUAAUGUUCCAAAAACAUGGCAAAAUUAGACAUUGCAAAACUGUUUUCUUCUCUGAAGUGUUUCACCAGAUGGCGAAGAGUGCUGAAACCGUAGAUCCGAGAGGGGAGGAAAAACAUCUCCGCAGUUUUCUCCGUGCAGGAUGCUCAGCUCCCACCCCAGCUCGUCUGAAGCGGCAUCUCCCACCUUGCCUCCAUCGAACCUUCAAGCUGGAGAUGACAUCAAGGUGUUUUUGAGAGCAGCUCAGCGCUCAAUCACAGCCUGGGAAAUCCCCGCUUUGCUCCGUUCAAGUUGUCGACCGGAUUUAUUCCGGCGAUGAGAACGAACGAGCGCGUCAGCAGAAGUUAUUGUGGUAAUUUGUGAAACUCUUAAUGAGAUAUUUUCAGAGCUCAUAAAAAGGAAGAGCUAUGUCAUUGAAUUACUGCACAAUAAGUGCAUUUUGAUACAGGAAAAGAGUUGGGCUUUUAUCAGAAAUGGCACUGCAUGAGUGGGGACGUGUCAGGGAGUAUUUAAAGGGGUCUGACAAGGGUCUAACAACCAUUUCAGAAAGUCAGGGCUGCUCCACAUAAAUGGGACAUGUCUGUGUGUGUUGCUGCUCUGUGAAAUGGCCACAAGUGAGGUGACUGCACUAAAUGUGUUCCUUAAGGACUUGACAAAGUUCCUUUCUACAGGACUUGCAGUGCCUUCAGAUGUCACCAGCUUUUUGCUUGCUUUCUUGUUAAAAGUAUCUUAGAACCAUCUAGAAAUUAGUCAUUAAAGUAACACCUAAUUUUGUUGCUUAGAUAUUGAAAGGAAGUCCUUCUCUCAUGGCUAGGGGUUUCUACUUUUAGGAGUAUUGGUGAACCCCAAGUAUUUGCCAUCCAUCCAUCCACCCCCUCCUGAACCUCUAACCUCUGUUAAUGUAUUUUGGAGAAUCUGUGAAUGAACAAGGUGAAAUGCUUGGAGUUCCUGAAAUCAUUAGUGGUUUCUGCUGACCCAAUCCCAGCUCCCUAUGGAAAAGCCUGUCAUGUCCUGGGAGACGAGAGAGCCACACUGGGGACAGGAGCUGUGCCCUGGAGGAGAGGGUUUCUCAUCAACUGAACACAAGCAGCUGGGCUGAACGAUGGUGAAGAGGGUGUAAAUGCACUUCCAAGCCCUCCACCUUCCAGAAAUGUUGGCUUUCUCAAUAAUUUCCUUGGGAACAUACGUGACAAAUCCAGAUCCACAGGAAAUCUCAUCCUUCUUCACUGAAAGAGCCUGAAAUGGAAGGUGACUUCAUUCCUGACUGGCAGUCAUUCCAGCUCCAUGCUGAGCAAGGAAACAGCCUCUUAUUCACCAUAUUACAAAUAUUUUUGAACUGAAUAUUCAUCGUGUCCAAAGAACAGCCUGCAGGCUGCAUUCAGUGUGCUUCCAUUACCCAGAGUUAGCCACAAAAAUUAAGCAAAAAUCCCACCAUUUUCCACCUAUCCCCAUUCAAAGAACAUUUGGAAGUGGGGCUUGCAAAUGGAAAAGGGUUGACUCUAACAUUAGGAAUUUGGUUUAUCAGUUUGCAUCCAGCUCAUCUGCUUAAUUGAAAAGCUUGUCCAUGGAUGGUUUCCAACAGUUUGUUUUCAGGGAAGGGCUGAUUUUAACCCACUUCCUUGACCAUUUGCUGAGCACAGCCUGUGGGUGACAUUAACUGCCAUCCCAACAAUCCCUCUCUGAUGUCAUGAGAUGCAAAGUGUCCCAUAGUCUUGAAAACUGACUGUACUCUGAGCUUGCACUGAUCCCAUGUUCUUCCCAAGCUAAAUAAGUUGGGAGAACCAGGUCUCAGGGGCACUGAGCCUCAGUUUUCCAUCUGUAAAAUAGCAAUACAAGGACUUUGGUAAAAAAUUAUUGCAUUUUCACCUGACAUGGACUGUUCUCUUUUUAGAAGGACUCUUCUAGCAACACCAGAUCUUUCUGAAAACUUGAUUCACCAAAAAACCCACUUUACAGUAAUUGGUAAUCUCUCUGUCUUCAGCAAGGCCAAGGUUUUAUUCUCACAUCUGAGCUUAAUUAUGUUUUCAGAACCGUGUCACGGAGGCUUAGAUGAAAUUCUUGCUUUGUGUGCAAGAAAGUCGCUCCACAUUUGCAUUUGCUUUGACAAGAACCACUGAUCUCAGCCAAUAUGGAGCGCUCAGAAUUGGCAGUGCUCCAGCUGGACAUCUCUUUUACAUUCUACCUAAAUUCCAGGCAAAAUAUCAUCCCUUAUGCUGAAAUGCUGAUGCCUUCAAGGGAGGGAAUAAAGCCUGAUAUAUGAAAAUGAAAUCCUGCUGCCGAGAGCUCCAUCUCCACCAACCAGCAGAGGUUGCUCUGAUGUUAGUGAACAAUCAUGGAGCUUAUUUUCCGUGAUAAAACCCCUGAAGGAAACCAAACACAAUUAUUGAGGUGAUGAAAUGAUCUGUGAGCAAGAAUGACAUGGAAUUUGCUGUGGGUGGGUAGGUUGUGAAACAGCAAUCCCUGGUCCAAAUCUUCUGGACAACCAGCUGCCCAUGGGGUUUUCCAACAUCACGUUGUGACCAGGCGGGUUCCAGGAACAACAGAGCACGGCCAACACAUCCUGCUUCCCAUGAGAUGGUGAGAACUGGGAUUCUUCUUCUAGGAUAUAAAUUCUGUCCCACUGGCCCUUAAAAAUCCAGGAGUUCUGCUAAUUUUAAUUGAUCCUUGAAUGGAAAUAAAGGAAACACAUUCUUUGCCCUUACUUAGCAAAGAGGAUUUUUUUUUUUUCCUUUCCCAGUUAUUAAUUUCCUUAAAUGUAAAGUGACAUCUAAAAUGAAAACAGUUUAUUGCUUGCCAGGAGCAAAGCCAGCCUAAUUUAAGAAAUUCAGAAUCAAAGCUUUUGAAGCAUAUCAGGGCAUGUUUAUAAAACAAUUAUCAUUGCAAACGUUCUCUCUGCUCAACUCAGCCUCUUCAGGCCACCUCCCGAAGCCUGAAACUUCAUCACCAGUCUUCCCCACCCUCAAAUGUUUCAUCAGUCGCAUAAAAUCAGGUCAGCCCUGGAUUGCAGCUUCCCUUCGUCGACCCAGGCGUUCGAUCCCAAAUCAAACCGACCUGCAACUCUUCGAUGCCGCAAGAAAAAUGAGCUGAGUGCUUAAAAUUAAGUAGCAGGCUCAUCAUUAAGAACCGACAGCAGACAAAGGAAUGCAGUGACCUCUCCAACAGAGCAUUUAAAUCUUUGCGCAACAUGCUCUGCUUGUUCGAGGCUGGUUUCACAAACAACAGCUGUGGAGUUCGUUAACAUAUGAAUCCCCUUGAGGUAAUUUGGAGGAGCCAAAUGUGCUAAACUAAACACCUCGUUAAGACACUACUCUAAAAAAAACAAAACAAAACAAAACAAAACCAAACCCCUGACCAAACCAAUUUCACUUUCACGUGUGGAGGUUCUGUCGUGUGGAAUUCAUUUGUCUGGCGUGGCUGGAAAUAGGGGGGGUUAAAAAAUCAGUGAUAAUAUGGGGCUUUUCUCUGCUGAGAUGCACUUGAGACUAAAUUGUCUUUGAAGUGUAGUCUGCCACAAAGAAGCGAUUAGCUGAGGACAAUAAUGUUUUCUUUUGCUCCCUGUUACUAAGCACAGGACAGGAGGUUGUACUAAAAUACGCAGGACCCCGUUGUUUCUCUUCAGUCUGGGGAGCCAAUGGACACGACCAGAGGGACUCUCUCUCCAGCAGGUCUUGGAUGGGGCCAAGGCAGAAGCACACCCAAGUGCCCCUGGGGUCACUGUGCCCCCCAGGAGGGCCUGGCAGGAGAUUUGGAGGGAAGUUCUCCCUGACAAACACUGAUGCAAGUCCAGGUGACCACACACAAGAGGUGCAGUCCGAAGGCACUGGAAGAAACGCCUGUCCUUGUUCCUGAGGGCUGCAGAGGGCUCAGAUGCCUUGAUCAGAUUUUGCCACCAAGAACAGCUGCUUGCCAUCCUUUUUUAUUUCUCCCUUUUUUGUAAUAGUUAUAUAAUUUUGCCAGUAAAGGAGUUCACAAUCUCCUUGGUGACACUACUAGAAGUCCCUCCUGGAAAACAGCAUCUCCUGCCCAGGUAACGCUGCUCAGUGAAGCUUGAAUGGCUUCAAACCCACACAGAAAUUCACUCUUCUCCAAAAUAAACAUGUUUUCUUCUCUGUCUCCA